GUAGUACUCCCUCCGUACUAAAAUACUUGUCGGAGAAAUGGAUGUAUCUAGAUGUAUUUUAGUUUUAGAUACAUCCGAUUUUAUCCAUUUAUGCGACAAGUAAUUCCGGACGGAGGGAGUAGUAU
rfam:Triticum aestivum genome assembly, contig: Triticum_aestivum_CS42_TGACv1_scaffold_225296_3B